AAACACAUUUGUCUUCAUGUAUGAACAUGAAAUGUGUUCGUUAAUCUGUUGACCUUCCUCGGUCAAGAUAAGUUCCAACAAUUUUUACGAGAAACACCAUUUGAAUUUUUUUUAUGAUUUACAUAACAUAAAAAUUCAAUGUCAAUUGUUGCGCCAUAUUUUCCUUCUUGAAACUGAAAAUGAUAGAGAUAACAUGUUUGUUAUCAACGUAAAUGGUACAGAGUUACACUUUGGAUUAAAAGAGUUUGUCGUUGUAACCAGUCUGAAAUCUGGACCAAUUUAUUAUUUUGUUUCUGACCCGUUUAUUUCAAAUAGACUUAUCUCAGAAAAUUUUGGGGAUAUGGACAAAGUCCCCAAGUCAAAUUUUUACCACAAGUUUAGAUUGAAAAACUUUUUGAAAGAGGACAUCCGUUUAAAAAUCAGAAUGCUGUACUUCAUUUCGUCAUUUCUGACGGCUUCAGACCCUUCAAAAACAACAAUUUCCAAAUUAUAUUUUGAUUUAGUUGAGUCUGGCCAGUAUGCCACGUUUCCAUGGGGGAAUGAGUGUUUUAAUUUAACACUUAAAGCGUGCAGUUAUAAGUUACAAAAAAUCCUUCGUCAUUCAAGUUUAGCCAGUUCCAUAUAGCCUUGCUGGUAUGGUUUAUGAGUGUUGUCAUCCAUUUGACAACACAAUUGCUACCCAUGCUUCAGAUUGCACACCGCGUAUCCUGAACUGGAAGACAACAAAUGAUGUUAUUUUUUUAUGAUUUGAAGAAAAUGAUAUUCAGAAUACAUGGCAAUCAGCAAAAAUUCAGAAAUAUAAUUUUUACUGAAGAAGAGGUAAAUGUCAUGGAUGAAACCAUUUUAAAUUUAUCUCCCAGUCACCAUGAUUCUGAAGAGCAAAGAAUCUCGGAAAAGCAGGGCAUUGAUGUUGAACAAAAAUACGUAGAGUUGAAAGCAGAAAUUGCAGAGAAUUACGUCAUAACUCGACCAUGUUGAUAAUUGAAGAGAUUAGAUUGUUAAGAGGUCAACCAACAUUCAUGCACAACAACAGGAUGAUGUCACUCCAAAUGUUGCACAGUCUGAUAAACCUCAAACGGACCAACCUUCGGUUUCAAUGGGUGAAUAUGUUCACAUUUCAAACAUAUAUGAUGAAGCUCAAAAGUCAACUGGUGAUUUUUUUAACGCCGACUUAUCUGGAUCAUCAACUUCAAAAUCACCAACUUUGGAUGAUUAUCCUGAUUUUACUAUGACACAAAUCAUUGCACUUGAUCCGAUUCUAAACGCCACCACAACACCAGAUGUGCAACAAAGACACAGGAACCCCAGAAAAUAUGAAUCUUUUCCUUAUAUUCGACUGUCGAAAGCCGAAGCAGUUCAAAAAGAGUUCCAAUUUUCUUCCCAAUCAAACAUCCAUUCGCAUGUCAAAAUGAUUUUGACGUUCCAGCUGAUAUGAUUGACCAGUUCAACAAUGGGUUAUGAAAGAUAUUUCAAAUAGGCGUGACAGGAAAGCAGCAUAUACAAAGGUGAAAAGUACCUUUCAUCCUCAAAUGGACUUUGGCGUUGUCAAAUCACAGAAAAGGAUUUUUUUCACAUAAUGAGUCAACCGGGCAGACCUUAGGAGGACGGGGUAAGACAUACUUUGAAUCAAUAUUAUGAUUAAUAUAUCUGAAUUAUAUGUUACUUGAUGUUUGAAUUGUUGUAUUUUAAUGUUGUAUGAUUUGUGUAUGU